CAGAGGCUCACCUUGUGAAAUGUGCUGUGAGUGGUCACGUAGGAGGUACACUGCUUGGAAAAGGUUAAGUGGAGUUUUAAAUAAGUUACUCAAAAUGUGCUGUGAGCGAUAGAAUGGUUAGGGCUGGAAGGGAGCUUUAGAUCAGCCACCUUGAGACCAGAAAACUAAACCCAUUAGGGAUGGUGACUGAGGAAGCAGUGACAGCGAUGUGGUCAGUUACACAGCUGCAAGAGUUGCUACUACAGUGGGGAAGCUGGCAUGGUGUGGAAAUUAUCCCCCAUUUCAAACAGUGGGCAGGAGGGAAGGCUUGCACAAGACAGCAGCUUCAUCAGAGGGAAGUGGAACAGAUACUAACCUGUCACCUCUGCCUCAUAAACUGCCAAGAAGAGCCAGAUGUCCCAGAGCUUGUAUAAUAGAUUAUUUCCAGGGUUUAUCAAUUUUUCACUGGAGUGUUUAAAAAAGAGAGAUUUAGCAUUUAAUUUUUAUGAAACAGCAUUUAAGAAGAAAAGGACCUCUGAGAGUGGAAAGAGGUGUAAAGGUGGGGAGAGUGAAAGAAAAUAAAAAUUGCACCCAUUAAACAGACAGCUGCCUUAUUUGUGUGAAGAAAUUCUUCACUAGUUACAAAUGCUUUCCAAAAGUCAAUCACACAAAGAAACACAAAGGCCUACAACUGAAGUAUUUUAUUUUUCUUGCCCCGUUCCCAGUCAUCCAAAGCAGUAAGACAGCAGUGAAGAUUGACCUCUAUGGCAGUUUAGCCUGGUUCCAGGCUGCUAUAAUCAUGUCCUUUUCUCCUUUUCUCUCCAUUACAUAUUCAGCUUCCCCCCUUUUCGUUAACACUAAGUCCUUCUGCAGCAGGACAGUUUGGUGGCUAAAGCUGCUUAUCUGGCUGAAAGCUAACAUACUAUUUUGAUUGUUCUAUGUAGGUUUUGAGCUCUACCAUUUGCCUGACAUACUUGGCUUACUGCAUAGCUGCACAAACACCUACACUAGCUCAGGGAGGGGAAGAGGAAGGCAUCACUGGUGCUGCAGGGGAGGAAUUCCCGGGUAAGAUCAGCUUUAGCUGCUGUGAAAUUUCACCCGACCAGAGAAGCCAGAAGUUACAGCUAAAGUCAAACCGAUCCUGCCCACCACCAAGCACAGCCUUGGCCCCCACUUCCCACUGCCUUGUCUGCCUGCAUAAGAUGUGCUGGUGCUUGUGUAAAGCCACUCAACAAAAUUGAGCUCACUAGUCCAACAGGAAAAAAUCACCUGCUGAAAAAGAAGGAAUAGUUUUCUUCUGGCUCAGCAGCUGUAGCAGCUUAGUGAAGAGAUGUAUCCUGGUACAGGGACAGAGGAGGAAGAGGAGACAGGUAAAGAAGAAAUGGACUGCAUGUGUUGGCCUUUUAAGCCAUAGCAACUUAGCUUUUAAAGUUAUCACAGCCUAUCCUAAUAGCCAUGUCCUCAGCUGAUGGAGAGAGGAUGACCUUCAGUCUUUAUGCUGGAAAGAGUGUUGUGACAUGAAACAGUAAUCAAUCUAUCUUUUCUCAGAACCUAAGAAAGAAAAAAUUAAUGAAAAGGACUGAGUAACUGCUAUUACCCUUGUCAGUUUUCCAUUAGCAUAUGAUGGAUUACUGCCAGCUCUUCCACUUCUGUUUUAGCCUUCAGUGGUUUUCUUAAUCUGAUUACCUGAGAAUCCCUGUUGUCUGCUUAUAAAACUCCAGACUGUAAAGACAAGCUUGAUGACAGGAGCUGAAAGGCUCAAAAGAAGACAAAAGCAGCAGACAAAAUGAAUACCGAGUCUAUUAUUGCUGUGAUUAUGUUUCCUAAAAUUUGCUGUUCUGCUGGCAGUUCCCCCACCACUCACUCUAGCCAGAGCAGUGCAGAUACAUAAAACUUACUAGUAAAUUCUGACUCUGCUUACCAAGUUCCAUUAAAAAUGUAUUGACCCAGAAAUUCACUGCAGACAGCAGUGCAGGCAGGCAUACUGUAGCUUCUGAUCUUACUAGCUAUCCGUGUUCCUGCAAGUAGAGCUUUAUUCUUGAAAUUAUCUUUGUGUACUUUCAAGCAUGUGAGUGACUCCACUGAAGACAAUGCGACUGCUCACCUUGGUAACGUUAAGAAUGCAUAUAAAGAUCUGCAGUGUCAGGGCCUGGCAGUGGAAGCAGUUAGUUUCACUUAUCUGGUAAGGGCCAAUUCAAAGUUGCUUACUGACAAAAGAAUGAAGGAGUUGAUACCUGUUACAUUCUUCAUUCUGCAUACUGCUUUGUAUGCAUAGGCCUUAUGUUUGCACAAGGCGCAGAGGCUUCAGAGCAGUUUCUUUGCAUGUAGAGAAGAGUAUGUGAGCAGCUACCUCACAAGAAAGAAAGAAAAUGAACCAUGAAGUUAAAAAAUUCUGGUUAGAAAAGAAAUUCUACUUUCCUCUGCGGUACUAAUACACAAAUGCAUCGACCUAACAAUGAAUCAGAGUUACAACACAGCAAGGAUAGCCAUGGAAAUGCAGAAAUACUGAAAUAUACAAUGAGAGGCUCAGCUCAAUGACGUUGCAUUGAAUCCCAGUCUACCUCAGAUUCAUGCUGAAAUUUCCAAGCUAUGGAUGAUUUUCAGAGGCAGGAUAUCAUACACAGGUGGUGAAUACAUAGGUCCUCCAGGAUUCUUCCUUGCAGCUUGACAGGUGUCAAAUGUCACAUCAGUUCAUGGUUCUUCUGAUCCACAGUCUUGCUUCAUGUGGCCAGAAUCAGCUUCGGCAGUACAGGUCAGCUGAGUGGCAGCUCGUUUCUACUGUUACUGUCUUAGUUCCCUUUAAUGCUCAUAUCUAAUCUGUGUUUUCAAUAAAUAGGAACAAAAAUGC